rnacentral:rRNA from 1 species
UACGAAGGGGGCUAGCGUUGUUCGGAAUUACUGGGCGUAAAGCGCGCGCAGGCGGUCUUCCAAGUCAGUGGUGAAAGCCCGAAGCUCAACUCCGGAAUUGCCAUUGAAACUGUGAGACUGGAGUACGAGAGAGGUGAGUGGAAUUCCCAGUGUAGAGGUGAAAUUCGUAGAUAUUGGGAAGAACACCGGUGGCGAAGGCGGCUCACUGGCUCGUAACUGACGCUCAGGCGCGACAGCGUGGGGAUCAAACAGG